rnacentral:lncRNA from 1 species
AGCAGACCAAUGCCAACCUCACUUCGGUGGCCCGAUGCUUCUUCCAUUCUUCCUCUAAUUCUUUGGUGUAGCUGUCACAUUCUUUACAGAGCUGAUUAACUUUAUGUUUCUUCUUUUUAAUCUGAAACUCCUGGGACUUGAUGGUCUGUUGUGCCAAUUCUAACUCAGCACAGGCCAACUAUAACUCACCCCCGUCGACUCUAGCUCGACUCUUACCGACUCCAAU